rnacentral:tRNA from 1 species
GGCCGCGUGGCCCAAUGGUUAGGGCGUUGGAUUUCGGCUCCAAAGAUUGUGCGUUCGAAUCGCACCGUGGUCG